UACGAAGGGGGCUAGCGUUGCUCGGAAUCACUGGGCGUAAAGGGUGCGUAGGCGGGUUUUUAAGUCAGGGGUGAAAUCCUGGAGCUCAACUCCAGAACUGCCUUUGAUACUGAAAAUCUUGAGUCCGGGAGAGGUGAGUGGAACUGCGAGUGUAGAGGUGAAAUUCGUAGAUAUUCGGAAGAACACCAGUGGCGAAGGCGACUUACUGGACACAUAUUGACGCUGAGGUGCGAAAGCGUGGGGAGCAAACAGG
rnacentral:rRNA from 1 species